rnacentral:rRNA from 1 species
GACGAACGCUGGCGGCGUGCUUAACACAUGCAAGUCGAACGGAAAGGCCCUGCUUUUGUGGGGUGCUCGAGUGGCGAACGGGUGAGUAACACGUGAGUAACCUGCCCUUGACUUUGGGAUAACUUCAGGAAACUGGGGCUGAUACCGGAUAGGAGCUCCUGCUGCAUGGUGGGGGUUGGAAAGUUUCGGCGGUUGGGGAUGGACUCGCGGCUUAUCAGCUUGUUGGUGGGGUAGUGACUUACCAAGGCUUUGACGGGUAGCCGGCCUGAGAGGGUGACCGGCCACAUUGGGACUGAGAUACGGCCCAGACUCCUACGGGAGGCAGCAGUGGGGAAUAUUGCACAAUGGGCGGAAGCCUGAUGCAGCAACGCCGCGUGCGGGAUGACGGCCUUCGGGUUGUAAACCGCUUUCGCCUGUGACGAAGCGUGAGUGACGGUAAUGGGUAAAGAAGCACCGGCUAACUACGUG